GACGAACGCUGGCGGCGUGCCUAACACAUGCAAGUCGAGCGGGGAUUUAAGUGGAAGUUCUUCGGAAUGGAGAUUUAAAUUCUAGCGGCGGACGGGUGAGUAACGCGUGAACAAUCUGUCCCGGACAGGGGGAUAACACUUGGAAACAGGUGCUAAUACCGCAUAAGACCACGGCCUCGCAUGGGGCUGAGGUAAAGGGAGCAAUCCGGUUAGGGGUGAGUUCGCGUCCGAUUAGCUAGUUGGGGAGGUAACGGCCCACCAAGGCGACGAUCGGCAGCCGGCCUGAGAGGGUGAACGGCCACAUUGGAACUGAGAGACGGUCCAAACUCCUACGGGAGGCAGCAGUGGGGAAUAUUGGGCAAUGGGCGAAAGCCUGACCCAGCAACGCCGCGUGAGGGAAGAAGGUUUUCGGAUUGUAAACCUCUGUCCUAUGGGACGAAGGAAGUGACGGUACCAUAGGAGGAAGCCCCGGCUAACUACGUG
rnacentral:rRNA from 1 species